rnacentral:rRNA from 1 species
GGCUCAGAUUGAACGCUGGCGGCAGGCCUAACACAUGCAAGUCGAACGGUAACAGGAAGCAGCUUGCUUCUUCGCUGACGAGUGGCGGACGGGUGAGUAAUGUCUGGGAAACUGCCUGAUGGAGGGGGAUAACUACUGGAAACGGUAGCUAAUACCGCAUAACGUCGCAAGACCAAAGAGGGGGACCUUCGGGCCUCUUGCCAUCGGAUGUGCCCAGAUGGGAUUAGCUGUGGUGGGGUAACGGCUCACCAGGCGACGAUCCCUAGCUGGUCUGAGAGGAUGACCAGCCACACUGGAACUGAGACACGGUCCAGACUCCUACGGGAGGCAGCAGUGGGGAAUAUUGCACAAUGGGCGCAAGCCUGAUGCAGCCAUGCCGCGUGUAUGAAGAAGGCCUUCGGGUUGUAAAGUACUUUCAGCGGGGAGGAAGGGAGUAAAGUUAAUACCUUUGCUCAUUGACGUUACCCGCAGAAGAAGCACCGGCUAACUCCGUGCCAGCAGCCGCGGUAAUACGGAGGGUGCAAGCGUUAAUCGGAAUUACUGGGCGUAAAGCGCACGCAGGCGGUUUGUUAAGUCAGAUGUGAAAUCCCCGGGCUCAACCUGGGAACUGCAUCUGAUACUGGCAAGCUUGAGUCUCGUAGAGGGGGGUAGAAUUCCAGGUGUAGCGGUGAAAUGCGUAGAGAUCUGGAGGAAUACCGGUGGCGAAGGCGGCCCCCUGACGAAGA